rnacentral:rRNA from 1 species
AGAGUUUGAUCCUGGCUCAGAUUGAACGCUGGCGACAUGCUUAACACAUGCAAGUCGAACGGUAACAGCGGGAGCUUGGCUGACGAGUGGCGGACGGGUGAGUAACGCGUAGGAAUCUGCCUAAUAGAUGGGGACAACUCAGGGAAACUUGAGCUAAUACCGAAUACGCCCUACGGGGGAAAGCGGGGGAUCUUCGGACCUCGCGCUAUUAGAUGAGCCUGCGUUGGAUUAGCUAGUUGGUGAGGUAAUGGCUCACCAAGGCGACGAUCCAUAGCUGGUCUGCGAGGGCGAUCAGCCACACUGGGACUGAGACACGGCCCAGACUCCUACGGGAGGCAGCAGUGGGGAAUAUUGGACAAUGGGCGCAAGCCAGAUCCAGCAAUGCCGCGUGUGUGAAGAAGGCCUGCGGGUUGUAAAGCACUUUCAGUAGAGAAGAAAAGCCUCGGGUUAAUACCCCUGGGUCUUGACGUUACCUACAGAAGAAGCUCCGGCUAACUCCGUGCCAGCAGCCGCGGUAAUACGGAGGGAGCGAGCGUUAAUCGGAAUUACUGGGCGUAAAGCGCGCGUAGGCGGCUUUGUAAGUCGGAUGUGAAAGCCCUGGGCUCAACCUGGGAAUGGCAUUCGAUACUGCAUAACUAGAGUAUGGUAGAGGAUAGUGGAAUUCCAGGUGUAGCAGUGAAAUGCGUAGAUAUCUGGAGGAACAUCAGUGGCGAAGGCGGCUAACUGGUAUAACACUGACGCUGAGGUACGAAAGCGUGGGGAGCGAACGGGAUUAGAUACCCCGGUAGUCCACGCCCUAAACGAUGAGAACUAGCUGUUGGGUGAGUAAAUUCACUCAGUAGCGAAGCUAACGCGUUAAGUUCUCCGCCUGGGGAGUACGACCGCAAGGUUGAAACUCAAAGGAAUUGACGGGGGCCCGCACAAGCGGUGGAGCAUGUGGUUUAAUUCGAUGCAACGCGAAGAACCUUACCAUCCCUUGACAUCCUCAGAAUUUGUCGUAAUGAUUUAGUGCCUUCGGGAACUGAGUGACAGGGUGCUGCAUGGCUGUCGUCAGCUCGUGUCGUGAGAUGUUGGGUUAAGUCCCGCAACGAGCGCAACCCUUAUCCUUAGUUGCCAGCGAUUCGGUCGGGAACUCUAAGGAGACCGCCGGUGACAAACCGGAGGAAGGUGGGGAUGACGUCAAGUCAUCAUGGCCCUUAUGGGCAGGGCUACACACGUGCUACAAUGGCCGGUACAGAGGGUUGCCAACCCGCGAGGGGGAGCCAAUCCCAGAAAGCCGGUCGUAGUCCGCAUCGGAGUCUGCAACUCGACUCCGUGAAGUCGGAAUCGCUAGUAAUCGCGAAUCAGCAUUGUCGCGGUGAAUACGUUCCCGGGUCUUGUACACACCGCCCGUCACACCAUGGGAGUUGGUUGCACCAGAAGUGGGUAGACUAACCUUCGGGAGGUCGCUCACCACGGUGUGGUCAAUGACUGGGGUGAAGUCGUAACAAGGUAGCCCUAGGGGAACCUGGGGCUGGAUCACCU